AUCUAAGACCUAAGAUGGCGGCGUUUGCAUGGGGUGUAAGCGCUGCAGGCGUACCAGAUAUGGAAAGGCGGCCAAAGGACGAAUCUACUAAGGAGUGUCCAAGAACUCGCCGAUAUUUGUGUUGUGAUUUUUAAAAACUUUAAACAGUACAGUCGAAGACCCUCUUCAUCACACGCCACAAUGGUCUUCCUAUGAAUUACAAUGUUCAUUCUUAUGAAGAACCGAAAAAAUGUAACACAUUCUCUAGAGAAAAGAAAAUUCUAACUCUAAGGCCUGUCUAUUUCCUGAGAAACAACAACAAUGAAGUUAGGCCAGUGGAUAUCCUACAGUGGCCUCUAAGUGUUCAAGUGAAAGGAAGACUUGCACAUCUCUCACUUUAAAUCAAAAGCUAGAAAUGAUCAAGCUUAGUGGGGAAGGCAUGUUGAAUGCCUACACAGGCCAAAAACUAGGCCUUUUGUGCCAGUUAGCCAAAUUGUGAAUACAAAGGAAAAAUUCUUGAAGGAAAUGAAAAGUGCUUCUCCAGUGAACACAUAAAUGAUAAAGCAAAACAGCCUUAUUGCUGAUACUGAGACAGUUUUAGCAGUCUGGAUAGACGAACAGACCAGCCUCAACAUUCUCUUAAGCCAAAGCCUAAUCCAGGGCAAGGCCCUAGCUCUCUUCAAUUCUAUGAAGGUUGACAGAGAUGAGGAAGCUGCAGAAGAAAAGUUUGAAGCUAGCAGAGGUUCGUUCAUGAAGUUUAAGGAAAGAAGCCAUCUCCAUAACAUAAAAAUGCAAGGUGAAGCAAUAAGUGCUGAUGUAGAAGCUGCAGCAAAUUAUUCAGAAGAUCUAACUAAGAUAAUGAAGGUGGCCACACUAAACAACAGAUCUUCAGUGCAGACAAAACAGCCUUCUAUUGGAAGAAGUACAUCUAGGACAUUCAUAGCUACAGAGGAGGAGUCAAUUCCUGGCUUCAGAGGACAGGCUGACUCUUGUCAGGCUAAUGCAACUGGUAACUUUGAGUUCAAGGCAGUUGUCAUUUACCAUUCUGAAAAUCCUAGGAUUCUUAAUAAUUAUGCUAAAUCUACUCUGCCUGUGCUCCACAAAUGGAACAACAAAGCCUGGAUGAGAGCAUAGCUGAUUACAACAUGGUUUACUGAAUAUUUUCAGCCUACUGUCGAUACCCACUGCUCAGCAAAAAGAGAUUCCUUUCAAAAUAUUGCUGCUCAUUGACAAUGCACCUGGUCACUCAAGAGCCCUGGUGGAGAUGUACAAUGAGAUUAAUGUCGUUUUUAUGCCUGCUAACACAUCAUCCAUUCUGCAUCCUGUCAGUUAAGGAGCAAUUUCGACUUUCAAUUUUUAUUAUUUAACACGUACAUUUUGUAAGACAAUACCUACCAUAGAUAGUGUUUUCUUUGACGUUUUGGGCAAAGUAAAUUGAAAACCUUCUGGAAUGGAUUCACCAUUCCAGAUGUCAUUAAGAACAUUCAUGAUUCAUGGGAAGAGGUCAGAGUAUCAACAUUAACAAGAGUUUGGAGGACAUAGAUUCCAGCCCUCAUGGAUGACUUUGAGAGUUUCAAGACGUCAGUGGAGGAGGUAACUCCAAAUGUGGAAAUUGGAAGAGAACGAAAAACUAGGAGUGGAGCCCAAAGAUGUGACUGAAUUGCUGCAAUCUCAUAAUAAGACUUUAAUGGGUGAGGAGAUGCUUCUUAUGGAUGAACUAAGAAAGUGAUUUCUUGAGAUGGAGUCUACACCCAUUAAAGAUGCUUUUGAAUAUUGUCCAAAUGACAAGAAAGGAUUCAGACUCUUACACAAACUUAGUUGAUAAAGUAGCGGAAGGGUUCGAGAGGACUGACUCCAAUUUUAAAGUUCCACUGUGGGUAAAAUGCUACCAAACAGCAUUGCAUGUUACAGCAAAGUUGUUCGUGAAAGGAUCAAUUGAUGUGGCAGACUUCAUUGCUGUCUUAUUUUAAGAAAUUGCCAUAGCCACCCCAACCUUUAGCAACCACCACCCUCAUCAGUCAGCAGCCAUCAACAUCAAGGCAGUAUCCUCCACAAACAGAAAGAUAACUUCUCACUGAAGGCUCAGAUGACAGUAUUUUCUAGUUAAGAUACUACAGAGUCCAGAAAAUAGAACAUCUUUAAAGUGCUGAAG